UGUUAACCGCUGAGCCAUCUCUCCAG
rnacentral:piRNA from 1 species